rnacentral:lncRNA from 1 species
CUUUAAUCUCUUCAUCCAACAUGGGGCUCAAACUCCUGGCCUCAAGAUGAGGAGUCACACACUCCACUGGCCGAGCCAGACAGGCACCCCAGUAAUUUUAUUUUUUGAGAAGGUCGGAAUAGGAUAAGUAGGUACUUCUGGUGUCAGUUCGGCAUAUAAGAAACUGGAGUGACGGGGUUCCUGGUUGGCUCAGUCACUUGAGUGUCUGCCUUUGGCUCAGGUCAUGAUUCCAGUGUCCUGGGAUUAAACCCCACAUCAGGCUCCCUGGGAGCCUGCUUCUCCCUCUGCUUGCUGCUCCCCCUGCUUGUGCUUGCUCUCUCUUUUAAAUAAAUAAAAAUCUAAAAAAAAAAAAAAAAAGAAAGAAACUGGAAGUGGCCACUCCAUUCUAACAACAAAGAAAAAGCUGAACAAGUUGAAAAGAGAAUUCUUGGAUUCUAAAAAGAAGUGUGGUCACAAGGGAAAGCCACUGUCCCCAAAUUGACACCAGCAAAUACAGAGAAUCACAACUUACUGAAGCAGAAACACACAUGUGAAAACAAGUGGGAGCCAGUGCCAGGGUAGGGAAACAGAACUAUAUGUCACAAAUUGCUGAAAUCUUCAUGGGGACAAAUCUGAGACACAAAAAACUCCAGGGGAACCCACUUCUGUGGACAGCUCCCACACAUUUAUAGAGUUUUACCUCUUAAAUGUCUCAGUGGUUCUCACAGCGAAUAUCCCAUGAAAUUCUGUGAUCUGUGACAGAAAAAUCCAGGCCUGCUUCCAGGUGGAGAAAGGAAAAGAAACCAUUUCUUUUUAAUCUUACCUGUUUUUUUGUUUUGUUUUUUUAUUUUUUUUUAAAUUUAUUUAUGAUAGUUACACAGAGAGAGAGGCAGAGACACAGGCAGAGGGAGAAGCAGGCUCCAUGCACCGGGAGCCCGACGUGGGAUUCGAUCCCGGGUCUCCAGGAUCGCGCCCUGGGCCAAAGGCAGGCGCUGAACCGCUGCACCACCCAGGGAUCCCCAAUCUUACCUGUUUUUUAUUUUUUUUUUAUCUAAAUAAGGUCUACUCCCAACCUGGGGCUUGAAGCCAGAAUCCUGAGAUUAGGAGCCACAUGCUCUACAGACUGAACCAUCCAAACUCCCCCAAAGAAACCAUUUUCAAAUACCCUAUAGCACUGUUCUCUACAAAGUCUCCCUGCGGAAAACACUACCUGUUUUGAUGUAAGACUAAUUAACGCUCACAGACUGAGUUGGUCUUUGCCAGCAGUUUAUUUAACAUAGGUUCAUAGUGGGAAUUUCACAAGCUAAUAGCAUUCAUGAUAAUCUCUUAAUAAGCCAAUAAGGAAAAUAGUAUCCAAAUCAAUGAUACAUUAAACAUACUAUUGUAGCAGGCGUAAGAAGAUGAAUAAAGUUUAAACUUAGUUGAGACAAAAUUUUUGAGUUGGUAUUCUGGAGAGACAGUUCAGCCAACCCUUACCUGAUGUCCAGCUGUCAGCACAAAAGUAAAAGUCCCCUGUUGCCAGAACAAGUUCCUAGGGAACAAUGAUGCCAGUGUCAGUGGGGAACAGGAUCUCUGUCUGGGCCACUGGAUGUUUCCCCCACUGCUGGUAGAAGAGUUGCCUUUACCACAGC